rnacentral:rRNA from 1 species
GACGAACGCUGGCGGCGUGCUUAACACAUGCAAGUCGAACGGAAAGGCCCUGCUUUUGUGGGGUGCCCGAGUGGCGAACGGGUGAGUAACACGUGAGUAUCCUGCCCUUGACUUUGGGAUAACUUCAGGAAACUGGGGCUAAUACCGGAUAGGAGCUCCUGCUGCAUGGUGGGGGUUGGAAAGUUUCGGCGGUUGGGGAUGGACUCGGGGGUUAUUAGCUUGUUGGUUGGGUAGUGGCUUACCAAGGCUUCGAAGGGUAGUCGGCAUGAGAGGGUGGCCGGGCACAAUGGGACUGCGAUACGGAGCAGAGUCGUACGGGAGGCAGCAGGGGGGAAUAUUACACAGUGGGGGGGAGCCUGAGGCGGCGACGCCGCGUUCGGGAAGACGGCCUUCGGGUUGUAAACCGCUUUCGCCUGUGACGAAGCGUGAGUGACGGUAAUGGGUAAAGAAGCACCGGCUAACUACGUG